ACUGAGACACGGCCCAGACUCCUACGGGAGGCAGCAGUGGGGAAUAUUGCACAAUGGGCGAAAGCCUGAUGCAGCGACGCCGCGUGAGGGAUGACGGCCUUCGGGUUGUAAACCUCUUUCGACAGGGACGAAGCGCAAGUGACGGUACCUGUAGAAGAAGCACCGGCCAACUACGUGCCAGCAGCCGCGGUAAUACGUAGGGUGCGAGCGUUGUCCGGAAUUACUGGGCGUAAAGAGCUUGUAGGCGGUUCGUCGCGUCGUUCGUGAAAACUUGGGGCUCAACCCCAAGCUUGCGGGCGAUACGGGCGGACUAGAGUACUUCAGGGGAGACUGGAAUUCCUGGUGUAGCGGUGAAAUGCGCAGAUAUCAGGAGGAACACCGGUGGCGAAGGCGGGUCUCUGGGAAGUAACUGACGCUGAGAAGCGAAAGCGUGGGUAGCGAACAGGAUUAGAUACCCUGGUAGUCCACGCCGUAAACGGUGGGUACUAGGUGUGGGUUUCCUUCCACGGGAUCCGUGCCGUAGCUAACGCAUUAAGUACCCCGCCUGGGGAGUACGGCCGCAAGGCUAAAACUCAAAGGAAUUGACGGGGGCCCGCACAAGCGGCGGAGCAUGUGGAUUAAUUCGAUGCAACGCGAAGAACCUUACCUGGGUUUGACAUACACCGGAAACCUACAGAGAUGUAGGCCCCCUUGUGGUCGGUGUACAGGUGGUGCAUGGCUGUCGUCAGCUCGUGUCGUGAGAUGUUGGGUUAAGUCCCGCAACGAGCGCAACCCUUAUCUUAUGUUGCCAGCGCGUAAUGGCGGGGACUCGUGAGAGACUGCCGGGGUCAACUCGGAGGAAGGUGGGGACGACGUCAAGUCAUCAUGCCCCUUAUGUCCAGGGCUUCACACAUGCUACAAUGGCCGGUACAGAGGGCUGCGAUACCGUGAGGUGGAGCGAAUCCCUUAAAGCCGGUCUCAGUUCGGAUCGGGGUCUGCAACUCGACCCCGUGAAGUUGGAGUCGCUAGUAAUCGCAGAUCAGCAACGCUGCGGUGAAUACGUUCCCGGGCCUUGUACACACCGCCCGUCACGUCAGAAAGUCGGUAACACCCG
rnacentral:rRNA from 1 species